rnacentral:lncRNA from 1 species
GAACUCCUACUGCAUCGUGGAGUCAGGGGGCACGAGGGUCGAAAGCCCGGACGUUCCGGAGCUCACGGAUGAUUCGGAGAAGAUGCAUUGUCAACCGAGCGGGCGCGAGGAAUAGGUUUCUUGAAGCUUGUUUCUGUUUCGUUUAAUGUUCAGGCCACUUCGAUUGGUUUUGACGUAUUGAAUAUGAAAAGGGGCUGUUCAUAUGCAUGUUUUGCAUGAGUGAAU